rnacentral:rRNA from 1 species
ACGGGUGAGUAAUGCCUAGGAAUCUGCCUGGUAGUGGGGGAUAACGUUCGGAAACGGACGCUAAUACCGCAUACGUCCUACGGGAGAAAGCAGGGGACCUUCGGGCCUUGCGCUAUCUGAUGAGCCUAGGUCGGAUUAGCUAGUUGGUGAGGUAAUGGCUCACCAAGGCGACGAUCCGUAACUGGUCUGAGAGGAUGAUCAGUCACACUGGAACUGAGACACGGUCCAGACUCCUACGGGAGGCAGCAGUGGGGAAUAUUGGACAAUGGGCGAAAGCCUGAUCCAGCCAUGCCGCGUGUGUGAAGAAGGUCUUCGGAUUGUAAAGCACUUUAAGUUGGGAGGAAGGGCAGUUACCUAAUACGUGAUUGUUUUGACGUUACCGACAGAAUAAGCACCGGCUAACUCUGUGCCAGCAGCCGCGGUAAUACAGAGGGUGCAAGCGUUAAUCGGAAUUACUGGGCGUAAAGCGCGCGUAGGUGGUUUGUUAAGUUGGAUGUGAAAUCCCCGGGCUCAACCUGGGAACUGCAUUCAAAACUGACUGACUAGAGUAUGGUAGAGGGUGGUGGAAUUUCCUGU